rnacentral:piRNA from 1 species
UGGAUGUGGAUCUAGAUAGGACCUGUUGGGU